CAGUAGCGCGGUAAUACGAAGGGUGCAAGCGUUACUCGGAAUUACUAGGCGCAAAGCGUGCGUAGGUGGUGGUUUAAGUCCGUUGUGAAAGCCCUGGGCUCAACCUGGGAAUUGCAGUGGAUACUGGGUCACUAGAGUGUGGUAGAGGAUAGUGGAAUUUCCGGUGUAGCAGUGAAAUGCGUAGAGAUCGGAAGGAACAUCUGUGGCGAAGGCGACUAUCUGGGCCAACACUGACACUGAGGCACGAAAGCGUGGGGAGCAAACAGGAUUAGAUACCCGAGUAGUCCCUGUCUCUUAUACA
rnacentral:rRNA from 1 species